AGAACUUAGCAGAGAUGCUUUGGUGCCUUCGGGAACUCUGAGACAGGUGCUGCAUGGCUGUCGUCAGCUCGUGUUGUGAAAUGUUGGGUUAAGUCCCGCAACGAGCGCAACCCUUAUCCUUUGUUGCCAGCGGUCCGGCCGGGAACUCAAAGGAGACUGCCAGUGAUAAACUGGAGGAAGGUGGGGAUGACGUCAAGUCAUCAUGGCCCUUACGAGUAGGGCUACACACGUGCUACAAUGGCGCAUACAAGAGAAGCGACCUCGCGAGAGCAAGCGGACCUCAUAAAGUGCGUCGUAGUCCGGAUUGGAGUCUGCAACUCGACUCCAUGAAGUCGGAAUCGCUAGUAAUCGUGGAUCAGAAUGCCACGGUGAAUACGUUCCCGGGCCUUGUACACACCGCCCGUCACACCAUGGGAGUGGGUUGCAAAAGAAGUAGGUAGCUUAACCUUCGGGAGGGCGCUUACCACUUUGUGAUUCAUGACUGGGGUGAAGUCGUAACAAGGUAAGCGUAGUGCU
rnacentral:rRNA from 1 species